UACAGAGGGUGCAAGCGUUAAUCGGAAUUACUGGGCGUAAAGCGUGCGCAGGCGGUUCGUUGUGUCGGCGGGGAAAGCCCCGGGCUUAACCUGGGAAUGGCCGUUGAAACUGGCGAACUGGAGUGUGGCAGAGGGGGGUGGAAUUCCGCGUGUAGCAGUGAAAUGCGUAGAGAUGCGGAGGAACACCGAUGGCGAAGGCAGCCCCCUGGGCUAACACUGACGCUCAGGCACGAAAGCGUGGGGAGCAAACAGG
rnacentral:rRNA from 1 species